UUACAAUAGCUGAGACCUGAAACUAAAGUUGGAAUGGUACAAAGAAGAUUAGCAUGGCCCCUGCUUAAGUACGACACACAAAGUCAUGAAGUGUUCCACUGAAAA